rnacentral:misc_RNA from 1 species
AUUCCCUCGAGUUUUUAUGGGCUCCAACAUCAAACCUGAUCCUGCGACACAGAUGAUCACACAGCGGGUAAUUGCUAUAAAUCGUUGAAAAGUUCCCUCGACUAUCUUUCGUCUCCAUCAUCAGACUUUAAUGGCACUUGUAACUCAUAUAGGUGCAAAGUUCUCAUCAAUAGAAACGAAUUAAGUUCAAACAGCAGGUAAUUGCUAUAAAUUGUUGAAGAGUUCCCUCGAUUAUCUUUCUUCUCCAUCAUCAGAUCGACUCCAGACCUUUAUCAAAUAGUAGUGCUUUAUAGUACUUAAUGAAAACAUGAUUAAAUUUACUAGUCACCCUUACGAUUUUUGAAAGUUUCCCUCUAUUUCUCUGGGAUCCCAUCAUCAGAUCCUGGUUUCCUUAUCAUGGUACCAAACUAUGGAUAUCUCCUUUCCAACAAAAAAAGAAUUAUCAAAAUCGGUUCAU